rnacentral:rRNA from 1 species
AUUGAACGCUGGCGGCAGGCCUAACACAUGCAAGUCGAACGGUCACAGGAAGAAGCUUGCUUCUUUGCUGUCGCGUGGCGGACGUGUGUGUCAUGUCUGGGAAACUGCUUGAUGGCGGGGGAUAACUACUGGAAACGGUAGCUAAUACCGCAUAACGUCGCAAGACCAAAGAGGGGGACCUUCGGGCCUCUUGCCAUCGGAUGUGCCCUGAUGGGAUUCGCUAGUAGGUGGGGUAACGGCUCACCUAGGCAACGAUCCCUAGCUGGUCUGCGAGGUUGACCGGCCACACUGGAACUGGGACACGGUCCAGACUCCUACGGGAGGCAGCGGAGGGGAAUAUUGCACAAGGGGCGCAAGCCUGAUGCAGCCAGGCCGCGUGUAGGAAGAAGGCCUUCGGGUUGUAAAGUACUUUAAGCGGGGAGGAAGGGAGUAAAGUUAAUACCUUAGCUCAUUGACGUUACCCGCAGAAGAAGCACCGGCUAACACCGU